rnacentral:tRNA from 1 species
GCUGGAGUGGCGGAACUGGCAGACGCACGGGACUCAAAAUCCCGCGGCCUUCACUGGCCAUGUGGGUUCGACCCCCACCUCCAGCACCA